UACGGGGGGGGUAAGCGUUGUUCGGAAUUACUGGGCGUAAAGCGCACGUAGGUGGUUUGUUAAGCCAGCUGUGAAAUCCCCGGGCUCAACCUGGGCACUGCAGUUGGAACUGGCAAGCUAGAGUAGGGUAGAGGGGUGUGGAAUUCCUGGUGUAGCGGUGAAAUGCGCAGAUAUCAGGAGGAACACCAGCGGCGAAGGCGGCGCUCUGGGCUGGAACUGACGCUGAGGAGCGAAAGCAUGGGGAGCGAACAGG
rnacentral:rRNA from 1 species